CGUCAAUGCGCUGCCACCCUGCGCAUAUUUUGUUCCCAAUUCCGAGCGUUCCUGCGGUAGAAGAUCGCAACUCACUCAAAACAAAAGCUGGUGUUCAAUACUGGUUUACUGGUUUAACAUUUCAACAUUUAGGAAGCUUUUACAUUUUUAAAAGUUGUGGACAAUAUGGAAGCAGAGAGCUCAGAGAUGGGACAGGUAGACACUGAAGAGGUAGACUUAGGUAGUCAAGAAGCAGUAAUCGAUUUGAUUGAUCAGAAGAACCCAAAUUACAAAGGGAAUGCGAAGCAAGUUCCAAUAGAUCUGGUUUGUUGAGCUAUUUUUCUGUAAAUAACCUGUGCUGUAAUCAGUAUGUAUAUGUUUUUAUCAGCCAUCAUCCUGUCAAGAGAUCUUGCAAUCAGGCUUUCAGAAUAUAGUCGUGGAAGAAUUGGAACCCCCAAUCGUUGACCUAAAUGAACUGGUUCAGGCUGCCAGCAACUUACAUGUACAUCACCAUCAAAUUUUGGUGAACGUGAGGUUUAUUAAAAGAACAAAAUUUAAA